UAACAGGAGCCUUUGUAUUUUAUCAUUAUUUAUUUCAAGCAUAUUUGGAAUAUUAGGUAUACAUAAACCAAUAUUUCAAAGACUAUCAUAUUCUUCUCUUAAUUCAAACUCUCAAGUAAAUACACAAAUGAACAUAUCUAAGGAUAGCCCUAGGUAUAGCUUUAACAAUAAAAAUACCUUCUAUCUUAACCCUGAUUAUAUUACAGGAUUUGUGGAUGGGGAAGGCUGUUUCUCUCUUUCACUGUUUAAAGAUGAUAGACGCUUAAAUGGUUGACAAGUUAAACCUAUAUUUAGUAUAUCUCUUCAUAAGAAGGAUAUUUCACUAUUAGAAGCUAUUCAAAGAACCUUUAAAGUAGGAAAGAUUUAUAAACAUGGUAUUGAUUCUAUACAAUAUCGUGUAAGUUCUUUAAAAAAUUUACAAAUAAUCACAGAUCAUUUUGAUAGUUAUCCUUUAAUAACACAAAAGAGAGUAGAUUAUCUACUAUUUAAACAAGCUAUAGCUUUAAUAAAAAAUAAAGAACAUUUAUCUUUAGAAGGUUUAUUAAAAUUAGUAGGAAUAAAAGCUACAUUAAAUUGAGGUCUAUCUGACAAAUUUAAAGAAAGUUUCCCUACUGUAAAAGCAGCAGUGAGACCUUCAGUAAUAUACAAUACUUCAGAUGUUAAGGUUAAAAGCUUAAACUGAAUUAGAGGAUUUAUAGAAGGUGAAGGAUGUUUCCAAGUUAUAACUCAAAAUUCCCCCCCCCGAAAGGGGGGGUGGCGAAAUGUUUGGUUAAGAUUUUCACUAACUCAGCAUAUUAAAGAUGAAGAGUUAUUGAAGGAUAUAGCUAUUUAUCUAAAUAUGGGUAGAUAUUACAAAUCACCAACACGUAAUGAAGGUCAAUACUUAAUAACAAUAUUUUCAGAUAUAAAUAAUAAGCUAAUACCUUUCUUAAAAGAGUACCCAUUAUUGGGAGUUAAACAGGAAGAUUUCUUAGAUUUUGUAAAGAUAGCCAAACUAAUAGAAUCUAAAACUCAUUUAACUGAUGAAGGAUUAGAUACAAUAAAGCUAAUUCAAAGUAAUAUGAAUAGCAAAAGAAUAAUAAAAGAAGAA
rnacentral:misc_RNA from 1 species